AAGGAGUCUAACAUAUCUGCGAGUAUUUGGGUGUCAAACCCGAGUGCGCAAUGAAAGUGAACGUAGGAGCCACGCGCAAGCUGCAGCCUCGUCCGAUCUGGAUCUUUAGUGAUGGAUUUGAGUAAGAGCAUAUAUGUUGGGACCCGAAAGAUGGUGAACUAUGCCUGAAUAGGGCGAAGCCAGAGGAAACUCUGGUGGAGGCUCGUAGCGGUUCUGACGUGCAAAUCGAUCGUCAAAUUUGGGUAUAGGGGCGAAAGAGUAAGCGAACCAUCUAGUAGCUGGUUCCUGC
rnacentral:misc_RNA from 1 species